CACGGGUACGGGUUUUCUUGCCAUGUCUACUUAUCCCUCCACUAACACCACCUGCCACCGCCACAUUCCCUGCAACCGAGACUAGCUAUCAACAAAAGCUAUCACUUGCUCUUUAUUUUCUUCUCAAGCCUGCAAGCUAGCAACCUCAUGAAGCCAUCCUCACCUCUCACAAGCUCCCUAGGUCACAAUCGAGGUUUUUCCACCCACCAAAAAUAAAACCUUUCUCCACACAUGGGUAAAAAGCCAAGGUCCAGCCCUCUAAGUACAUUAGAGCACAAAUUCUUGCUCCCACACCCAUUGCAUGUCAACAAUUUGAGCCUCUAAGGCCAAAACUAGAGCUUAAUCGGUAAGACUUCAUCGUUUCAGAAUUCCUUCUCUACAUUGUAACAUCGAGGUCAUACGCAUCAAUCGGACAACCGAGGGAAAAGUUACACCACUUGGAAGAUGAAGGGCACUACGCAUAGGUGAGAAUUCAAAUCCAGGAUACUUAUGGUCAUGGAGUGUAGCAGCAAACAGAUCGUCGAGUUUAUAUUCAAGUUAGGAAUUGAUCUUUAUUUAUUUUAGAGAGAAGAAAGCAGAAAGAGGUGAGGGCAGGAAUGCACUGAAAUGCUAAUGGAGAUAUUUGAUGUGCCUCCCAUUCCCGUGGUUUCACCUUUAAUGUUAUGGAUUCAAUCUUCAACAAUACCUCAAAAAAUGCUGCAAAAGAUUAGAAGACAAUGAGGUUUGCUGAUGUUAUGGUAUGUAAGGAUCAAUAAAAUUUUUAUUUAUUUUAAAAUGUCUCUUAUAUUCUUUAAAACCGUACAAAUGCAGCAGUGAGUUAAAAACUAGACUUUGAAAAUGUUGGCAUAGGAAACAUGCAGGGACGAAGCAUAGAGUGUCCCAUUGAACUCUUGAAUUUCACUGACGGAUUCAGUACCAAACUCAUCGACAAGAGGCACAGCCUCUAAAACUUUUAACCAUCCUCGUUGACUCUGAGUCCUAGAGGCAAAACAGGAGGUUUUGGGGGUAGAGGUGACCCAAAAGGAUAGUUCAUUGCCACCCAAAACUCAUUUUUGGAAUUCCUCUUGAUGUUCUCUGGUCUUCCUGGAAUUUGCAACAAUACUGAAAUAUUUGCUUUAGGUCCGGCAAGCCAGAAUCUGCGAAUUCUGUGGGAAUUCAACUCACUAACAAGGACAAAUGAACCAUUGUCACUUACUGCCACAGCAAGAUUGCUGAGCAACAAUGAGGUUUGGUCGGUGGUUGGAUCAUAUUUGUAUAGGUUUCCAGAAUAAUCUGUGUUUUUUAGCAGUUCAUGGAGAUCCCUGCAAAAUUCAAAUGCCACAAUUAUAAUUAGUGCAUAUUUGGAUUCACAUUGGAUUAUUCAAAAUCAUGUUGAAGUAUCGACUAAUAUGAUUUUAGAUACAAAA